GCUGGGUGUGGUGACACACACCUGUAAUCCUAGCUACUUGGGAGGCUGAAGCAUGAGAAUUGCUUGAACCUGGGAAACAGAGGUUGCAGUGAGCGGAGAUCAUGCCACUGCACUCCAGCCUGGCAACACAGAGAGACUGUCAAAAAAAAAAAAAAAGCCCCAAAAAGCAAAAAACAAAAAACAAACAAAAAAAAAUCUUCAUUUUUGAGACAGAGUCUCACUCUAUCACCCAGGCUGGAAUGCAGUGGCAUGAUCUCCGCUCACUGCAACCUCCAUUUCCCAGGUUCAAGCAAUUCUCAUGCUU
rnacentral:SRP_RNA from 1 species